UUGUUGGUAAGGUAAAAGCUUACCAAGGCUUCGAUCAGUAGCUGGUCUGAGAGGACGACCAGCCACACUGGGACUGAGACACGGCCCAGACUCCUACGGGAGGCAGCAGUGGGGAAUUUUGGACAAUGGGGGCAACCCUGAUCCAGCCAUGCCGCGUGAGUGAAGAAGGCCUUCGGGUUGUAAAGCUCUUUCAGCCGGAACGAAACGGUUACGGAUAACACCCGUGACUACUGACGGUACCGGAAGAAGAAGCACCGGCUAACUACGUGCCAGCAGCCGCGGUAAUACGUAGGGUGCGAGCGUUAAUCGGAAUUACUGGGCGUAAAGCGUGCGCAGGUGGUUUUGUAAGUCAGAUGUGAAAGCCCCGGGCUCAACCUGGGAACUGCGUUUGAAACUACAAGACUAGAGUGUGGCAGAGGGGGGUGGAAUUCCGCGUGUAGCAGUGAAAUGCGUAGAGAUGUGGAGGAACACCGAUGGCGAAGGCAGCCCCCUGGGUCAACACUGACGCUCAGGCACGAAAGCAUGGGGAGCAAACAGGAUUAGAUACCCUGGUAGUCCAUGCCCUAAACGAUGUCAACUAGUUGUCGGGCCUUUACGGGUUUGGUAACGUAGCUAACGCGUGAAGUUGACCGCCUGGGGAGUACGAUCGCAAGAUUAAAACUCAAAUGAAUUGACGGGGACCCGCACAAGCGGUGGAUUAUGUGGAUUAAUUCGAUGCAACGCGAAAAACCUUACCUACCCUUGACAUGUAUCGAAGCCCGCAGAAAAGCGGGGGUGCCCGAAAGGGAACGAUAACACAGAUGCUGCAUGGCUGUCGUCAGCUCGUGUCGUGAGAUGUUGGGUUAAGUCCCGCAACGAGCGCAACCCUUGUCAUUAAUUGCCAUCAUUUAGUUGGGCACUUUAAUGAGACUGCCGG
rnacentral:rRNA from 1 species